rnacentral:sRNA from 1 species
UAUGAGCAUGGAAGAAGACGAAGACGUGGAAGAGGAAAGAAGACUUUGUUAUGUUGCCAUAACAAGAGCCGAGGAAGAAUUAUAUAUAUCUUCAGCAAA